ensembl:snoRNA
GGCAGUGAUGAAAGCUUGAAUAGGAAGAGUUUGAUGCAACAACUGAUGAUUUCAACUACUUCUGAUC